GGUGGCUCAGUGGUAGAGUGCUUGCCUAGCAUGCAUGAGGCCGUGGGUUCGAUUCCUUAGCACCA
rnacentral:tRNA from 1 species